rnacentral:rRNA from 1 species
GAAAAGCUCAAAUUUAAAAUCUGGCGGUCUUUGGCCGUCCGAGUUGUAGUCUGGAGAAGCGUCUUCCGCGUUGGACCGUGUACAAGUCUCUUGGAACAGAGCGUCAUAGAGGGUGAGAAUCCCGUCUUUGACACGGACUACCAAUGCUUUGUGAUGCGCUCUCAAAGAGUCGCGUUGUUUGGGAAUGCAGCGCAAAAUGGGAGGUGAAUUCCUUCUAAAGCUAAAUAUUGGCGAGAGACCGAU